rnacentral:rRNA from 1 species
UACGGAGGGGGCUAGCGUUGUUCGGAAUUACUGGGCGUAAAGCGCACGUAGGCGGCUUUGUAAGUUAGAGGUGACAGCCCGGGGCUCAACUCCGGAAUUGCCUUUAAGACUGCAUCGCUAGAAUUGUGGAGAGGUAAGUGGAAUUCCGAGUGUAGAGGUGAAAUUCGUAGAUAUUCGGAAGAACACCAGUGGCGAAGGCGACUUACUGGACACAUAUUGACGCUGAGGUGCGAAAGCGUGGGGAGCAAACAGG